GUAGAUUCAUUCUGCACCUGGCUGCAGCUCCUGUCUGGUACUUUUUUCUGUCUAUUUAGAGAAAUAUUCUGGGGUGCUAUGGCUGCCUCUGUCUAUCAGGAGCAAUGUAGCUUCCUGGGGACACAGUG
rnacentral:snoRNA from 1 species